UGGGUAAACUGCACCAAUGUGGGAU
rnacentral:piRNA from 1 species